rnacentral:sRNA from 1 species
CGAUUAAGGUUCGAUUCGAGCGUCAGCGAGAAAGCGUUGCCGCAGGCAACGACCCGAAGGGCGAAGCGCGCAGCGCUGAGU